rnacentral:rRNA from 1 species
GGUUGAUAUUCCUGUACCGAUAUUUAAUUGCCGAAGGAAGGACGCAGAAGGAUAACACAGGCCACUAUUGGAUGUGGUUUUAAACAGUUAGUCUUCAUAAGAGUCAAAUGCUUUUAUGUUUAAGGAUAAGCUGUGAAUGUACCAAGUUUACUUGGAAAUUGUGUGAUUUCACGCUGCUGAAAAAAGUUUCGUAGGAAGAAAAUAUUGCCCGUACCGCAAACCGACACAGGUACUCAAGUGGAGAACACUAAGGUGAGCGAGUGAACUAUUGUUAAGGAACUCUGCAAAAUGAGUCCGUAACUUCGGAAGAAGGACUGCUGGUUUUAUACCAGCCGCAGCAAAUAGGCCCAAACAACUGUUUAUCAAAAACACAGGUUUCUGCAAAAUCGUAAGAUGAAGUAUAGGGGCUGACGCCUGCCCAGUGCUGGAAGGUUAAAAGGAGGACUUAGCUUCGGCGAAGGUCUUAAUUGAAGCCCCAGUGAACGGCGGCCGUAACUAUAACGGUCCUAAGGUAGCGAAAUUCCUUGUCGGGUAAGUUCCGACCCGCAUGAAAGGCGUAAUGAUUUGGGCGCUGUCUCAACAAUAGACUCGGUGAAAUUUAAAUUCCAGUGAAGAUGCUGGGUACCCGCGACAGGACGGAAAGACCCCGUGGAGCUUUACUGUAGCUUGAUAUUGAAUGUUUGUGCUGCAUGUGCAGGAUAGGUAGGAGACUUUGAAGUCGGAACGCUAGUUUCGAUUGAGUCACCCUUGAGAUACUACCUCUGUUGUAUGAACGUUCUAACUCUGAUCAGUUAUCCUGAUCGAAGACAGUGUCUGGCAGGCAGUUUGACUGGGGCGGUCGCCUCCUAAAAGAUAACGGAGGCGCUCAAAGGUUUGCUCAGAAUGGUUGGAAAUCAUUCGUAGCGUGUAAAGGCAUAAGCAAGCUUGACUGUGAGACUGACAAGUCGAGCAGGUACGAAAGUAGGACUUAGUGAUCCGGUGGUUCCGUAUGGAAGGGCCAUCGCUCAACGGACAAAAGCUACCCCGGGGAUAACAGGCUCAUCUCCCCCAAGAGUCCACAUCGACGGGGAGGUUUGGCACCUCGAUGUCGGCUCAUCGCAUCCUGGGGCUGUAGUCGGUCCCAAGGGUUGGGCUGUUCGCCCAUUAAAGCGGUACGCGAGCUGGGUUCAGAACGUCGUGAGACAGUUCGGUCCCUAUCCGUCGUGGGCGCAGGAAAUUUGAGAGGAUCUGUCCUUAGUACGAGAGGACCGGGAUGGACAUACCUCUGGUGUACCAGUUGUUCUGCCAAGAGCACCGCUGGGUAGCUACGUAUGGAUUAGAUAAUCGCUGAAAGCAUCUAAGUGAGAAACUAACCUCGAGAUGAGAUUUCCCAUUCGUCAGAAGUAAGACCCCUGAGAGACGAUCAGGUAGAUAGGCUAGAAGUGGAAGUGUAGUGAUGCAUGGAGCGGACUAGUACUAAUAGGUCGAGGACUUAACCAAG